rnacentral:lncRNA from 1 species
GGGGCGAAGUCUCGGGGCUGGAGAGGAGAGGUCCGCAGUAAGUGGCCGGCCAGUGGCGGGCUACUGAAGAAGAACGUAGGGCAGGGAUCCCCUCCUGGCGCAGCGGAGGUUGGAAGACUGGGCAAGAAAACAUGGUUUGGGGGCCGGACUCGGAAGCAAAGGUGUUAGGGACACAGGGAGAGACUGAGGGAGAAGAUUGUGGCUUGAGAGUAAGGAGAGACUGAAACUGCCUUGUAAACCGCAGGGCAGGUGCUGAGGGUCGUGGUGGUGGGCUGAUACUCUGGGGACUGGGGAAGCACUCUGGGGUCAGGAAGGAGACUCUGAGGCGAGAAGGGAGUCAGCUGAAUAGAAAGAAGACAGAAAUUGGAAUCAGGCUACCCCAGAGCAGAAUGGUCUUCCCUUCUAACUUGUAACCCUUUCCUAAGGGUUGGGCUGGGCUCAGGGCAUCCUAUACCCAAUGCAGUGGAGUUACUACUAGCCACUGCUCUAACAGAUGGAAGGGCUGUCCCUUUCCUAAACCUCUUUCAACUUGGUUAUUUCCUCCUUUUCAUAUUUCUUCUUGUUGUUGUUGCUGUUUUUAUUUCUUUGUUGUUCCUUUCUAGGUAGUGGGAGGCAUAGUUUUUGGCAAUAGCCAGCCAAGGAUACAGGGAACAGGUGCGGCGCCUGCACGCUGACUUCACGUGGUGGAUGUCUGGCUGAGAGAGAAGUAGGAAAUCCUCACAACGCUUCUUCCAGCUUUGAUCUGCCUGGGGCAGCCCGUGGUGGAAGAUGACUCUGUAGCCCUGGUGUCUACCAGUAUCCGGAGUGGGAGCCCCAAGAGCCAUGUAGACAGGCACCCAGCACUGUGCCAGCUAUGUGGGAGUUGGCUGGCUCUGGGGACGAGCUGUUGGCAGUGCAGGUGGCUGGCGACAAGGAUGGAGUGUGAGGCCUCGAGACAGGAUGGCAGGCAGCACAGAAGCCUCCGCACUCAGCAGAGCUGCGGUCCUGGCUGCUCUGAGGAUGGAGACUACAGGAGGACUCGGAAUCCUCUGGGAGUGGAGUUACAGCUGGUUGAGAGCCACGUGAGUGCUGGGAAUCAACCUUGGAACCUCUGGAAAAAGCGGCGAGUCAACCACAACCCAUCGCUCAAGCCCCAUUGCUGGGCCUGGUGACAACGCAUGUCAGUCCUGCCUCAGCCCCCUGAAUGCAUGUUUACAGAUGUGCACCAGAGCACCUGACUCAAGUUUUAAACGAUCAUUUUGAGCA